AAACUUUUGAGUGGUUUGUGUCUCCUGAUUGGACUCCUACAAAUACAGAAUUGAUGCUAGGAAGGGUACCAGGAGAUAGACGCACACAGAUGGGAUUUGGGAAUAGGUUUGGUUAUCCAAGGAGCAGUGCUGAGCUCCUUGCAAUGGGAUAUGGGAUGCUGGUGAUUUCCAGGAAGUGCGCUCACAAUGACUCAAGCUGCCACAUACUGUUGAUUGUGAAAUGCCAGUUGAAGCAUAUGUCCUGCAAGCUUAGGGGUGCUACAAGUUGACCACUGCAGCAGUAAAGAUGACUCUGAAGAACGGCGUGGGAUGGUUCCUUUCAAAUGCACUUGAGCAGCGGUCUCCAACCACAGGGCCACAGAGCUGGAGCUGGAUCUACCAUGAAAGACUUGUGAAUCCAGGAAGAGAGACUGACUGGGCAACAUGUUAUUCAGGGUCUCCCUCUGUUGUCCAAGGCUGGAGUGUAGUAGUGCUAUCGCAGCUGACUGCAGCCUCAACCUUCCAGGCUGAAGCGAUCCUCCCACCUCAACCUCCCACGUGGCUGAGACUACAGGUGCUUGCCACUAUGCCCAACUAACAUUUGGAAUUUUCGUAU
rnacentral:lncRNA from 1 species